rnacentral:hammerhead_ribozyme from 1 species
GCACUGCUGAAGAGUCGCACAUAAGACAAAACGGCGUCUGGUGC